GCAUAUCAAUAAGCGGAGGAAAAGAAACCAACCGGGAUUGCCUCAGUAACGGCGAGUGAAGCGGCAAGAGCUCAAAUUUGAAAUCUGGCCCCUUUGGGGUCCGAGUUGUAAUUUGGAGAGGAUGCUUCGGGUGCGGCCCCUGUCUAAGUGCCCUGGAACGGGCCGUCAUAGAGGGUGAGAAUCCCGUCUGGGAUGGGCGGCCGUGCCCGUGUGAAGCUCCUUCGACGAGUCGAGUUGUUUGGGAAUGCAGCUCUAAGCGGGUGGUAAAUUUCAUCUAAAGCUAAAUACUGGCCGGAGACCGAUAGCGCACAAGUAGAGUGAUCGAAAGAUGAAAAGCACUUUGAAAAGAGAGUUAAACAGCACGUGAAAUUGUUGAAAGGGAAGCGUUGGCCACCAGACGCGCCCGAGGGGGUUCAGCCGGCACUUGUGCCGGUGCACUCCCCCCCGGGUGGGCCAGCAUCGGUUUGGGCGGUCGCUGAAAGGCUCCAGGAAUGUAGCACCCUCCGGGGUGCCUUAUAGCCUGGGGUGUCAUGCGGCCUGCCUGGACCGAGGCCCGCGCUUCGGCGAGGAUGCUGGCGUAAUGGUGGUCAACGGCCCGUCUUGAAACACGGACCAAGGAGUCUAACAUCUAUGCGAGUGUUCGGGUGUCAAACCCGUCCGCGCAGUGAAAGCGAACGCAGGUGGGAACCCUUCGGGGCGCACCAUCGACCGAUCCUGAUGUCUUCGGAUGGAUUUGAGUAAGAGCAUAGCUGUUGGGACCCGAAAGAUGGUGAACUAUGCCUGAAUAGGGCGAAGCCAGAGGAAACUCUGGUGGAGGCUCGCAGCGGUUCUGACGUGCAAAUCGAUCGUCAAAUUUGGGUAUAGGGGCGAAAGACUAAUCGAACCAUCUGGUAGCUGGUUCCUGCCGAAG
rnacentral:rRNA from 1 species